GACGAACGCUGGCGGCGUGCCUAAUACAUGCAAGUAGAACGCACAGUUUAUACCGUAGCUUGCUCCACCAUAGACUGUGAGUUGCGAGCGGGUGAGUAACGCGUAGGUAACCUGCCUGGUAGCGGGGGAUAACUAUUGGAAACGAUAGCUAAUACCGCAUAAUAUUAAUUAUUGCAUGAUAAUUAAUUGAAAGGUGCAAUUGCACCACUACCAGAUGGACCUGCGUUGUAUUAGCUAGUAGGUGAGGUAACGGCUCACCUAGGCGACGAUACAUAGCCGACCUGAGAGGGUGAUCGGCCACACUGGGACUGAGACACGGCCCAGACUCCUACGGGAGGCAGCAGUAGGGAAUCUUCGGCAAUGGACGAAAGUCUGACCGAGCAACGCCGCGUGAGUGAAGAAGGUUUUCGGAUCGUAAAGCUCUGUUGUAAGAGAAGAACGGGUGUGAGAGUGGAAAGUUCACACUGUGACGGUAUCUUACCAGAAAGGGACGGCUAACUACGUG
rnacentral:rRNA from 1 species